rnacentral:tRNA from 1 species
GAGGGUGUAGCUCAGUGGAAGAGUGCAUGCUUACAUACAUGAAGUCCUGGAUUCAAUCUCCAAUACCUCCA